GCCCGCCCUCCCCGGAGGUAUUUCAUUUAACUUCGGCAUUUGUAGCAUCCCAAACGUUAAAGAUCCCAAGACAUCUGUCCCCUGGUGCAUACCAAGGCGCCGGGAGAAGAGGGGAAGAUUCGAGGAGGGACGCGAGAUUCCGACCCCAGGGCGGGGGCGGGGCCGCUCGCUGGGCUGGGAAGGCGCCCGCAGGGCUGAGGGUCCCGUGGGAGCAGCGGCUCGGGCCCAAGGCUGUGCCCCUGUCCCGCCCGGGGACGCCCGCCUGGCCGGGCACCCCCGGCGCUGCCAGUUCGCGCGGCCGGGGCGGGAGCAGGCUCCUCUCUGGGUCCGAGGGCCGCCUUCAUCCGCGCGCUCCGGCCUGGCUGGGGGCAGCUUUCAUUCCUGGAGACCCCGGGGUGGAAGAAUGGAAGGGGUGGCGGGAGGUCCGCUCCCCUCCACCGCUCGCUGCUCCCCCUCUUGCCCCGGAGCCUCAGGUGGAGCUGGCCUCCUCGCCUUCCCUCCUGCGGCCCAGCCGGGUCCUGCUGCGGACCAGGGCUGCUUAGAGGGCAGGGCCACACUCCUGGAGAGCGCCUCCUGCUGCUCACUGCGAGCCGGUGGAUCCCGCCGGUCCUCUGACCCUCUUCGCACUCCCCCUGCUCUUUUGCUCAGGGAUCAAACUCGGGUCCUUGCAGUUGCACAGCAGGCGGCAAAACCACUGAGCUAAAUCCCCGGCAUCUGACUUCUCUUAAGACACACGGCAUGAUGAGAAGGGAGUGUGUUCUGAAGGAAGGAUGCUUUUAAUUGCAGUCAGAUGCUGUCUAGUUCAACUGCAGUGGCCCAUAAACCUGGCCAUGUGUGACCUCCUCCUCAUCCUCUCCUCGCUCGAGCUUGGACCCAGCCGGCACUAUCCCAUUCCUCUGAGACUGGCUCUCGAAGGUCAAUGCGCUUUCCCUUGUUUGUCCAUAAGCACGUGCACCAAAACGUGCAACUGGGGGCUGAUGGUGGAUUGGGGCUCAGAGGGAGGCUCUGGCCCUGCCACCCUGCCUUAACCCACCGCCUAGACUUAGUCAUUAUUAACUUGCCCCUGUAUUGCCUUACUUUGCAUUUUCCUUUGGUGAAAUAUAUAAAUCCCAGACUUAGAGACAUAUCAUUUUUAAAUGUGUCUCUAAAAAAGAGUGGAUACUUUUCUUACAGGAUCAUCUCACUGUUAUCACAAUACCUGGUUUUUGAGUGCUGGGGAUUAAACCCAAAUCCUUUGCAUACUAGGCAAACACUGUACCACUGAGUUAUAUCUCUAGCCUUAAGAGACCUUCUCUUCCACCUUCUUCUCUUCCUCCUCUUCCUGUCCUCCUGCUUCCUUUUUUUGAGACAGGGCCUCAUUCUGGAGUCCAGGCUGGCCUUGAACUCAUGAUGCUCCUGUCUCACCACCGAGUGCUGCUGGGAUGUACCCAUGUGCCACCAUGCCUAGGCCCCUGGCAUAUUUUUUAAUCAUGUCAGUCCCUUGAAGAAAUCAGGUCAGUUGUCUCAUGAAAUAUCCUAUAUUCUGUGUCUUAUCUGCUUGUGUUCUCCCUCGUGUCAUCAUUUCUCAUGCCCCUAACCCUUUUAUUUCCUGUCACCUGAAUUUGGCACAAAAUGUUUGCCUAGAUUCAAAUUUAUCAUUUUGGGCAAGAAUACUCCGUGGAUGGUGCCAGACGCUUCAUCCUUCCCCUCAUGGAGUCAAGUAACAACCGGUUGUUUCUCUGAAUAGCGACGCUAGUUGAGCUGUUGGUUCCCCUCACCAUCCCACUGUGCCUGCCGGGCGUUACUGGGAAACCCUCUGGGUGCCCUCCUGGGAUUUGCACUACCCAAGCUCCCGGUAGCCUCUCUCCUGGUGGUGAGCAGCCAGCCACUGAUGAUUGUUGCUUGAAUCAAUUACUUUAUUAGAGAUUGUAAAGGUGAUUUUCUAUUUCUUUUAAAAUAUUUUUUACUGUUAAAAAGCAAUAGAAUUCAAGCCAGAUGUGGUGGUGCACAUCUGUAAUCCUAGCAUUCUAGGAGGCUGGGGCAAGCAGAUUGCAAGUUCAAGCACAGCCUGAGCGACUUAGCGAGACCCUGUCUUAAAAAAAGUAAUAACAAAAGGGGCUGGGGAUUUAUCUCAGUACAAAGGCCCUGUGUUCAGUCUCCAGUAAAACACACACACACACACACACACACACAUAUUAAACUUCAUUUAAAAUGGUCACCUUUUUACUGACCUAUCUUCCAAAUUCAGCCCGUGUUAUAAGAAAAUCCCACCAAGACACCCAUAUUGAUUUAUUAUUAUUAUUAUUAUUGUCUUUGUUUUGGUUUUGGUUGUUCUCUGGGAUUGGAUCUAGGGCGUUUAUCCUGAGAUACAACCCCAGCCCUUCUUUAAUUUUUUUUUUUUUAAUUUUUGGUACCGGGGAUCGAACUCAGUACAAUUUUUCAUUUUGAAACAGGGUCUCACUAUGUUGCCCAGGCUGCUCUUGAACUCGAGAUCCCCUUGGAGUGCAUGGGUUAGAGGUGUGUGCCACCACACCCAGCUUGAUUAAUUGUGUCAUAAAAGUGACUUCCCUGCUAGUGCAGCGUACCGGGGAGCCCUCAGCAGACCUGCUUAGUCCCUCUCCCUCUCCCAACGCGCUCUGAGAGUGCAGACAGGACGUAUGUAUGGCUCUCUGUGUGGGCUCACAGAGAGACAGGCUCUUAGAUGUCAAAAGCAUUUAGAAGUGUGCCGAUAAAUGUAUUUUACUUGCCCAAGUGAUGUAAGUAAGUUGUUUUCUCCUUGGUCUCCUUUUGAUGAGUUUGUUUAUGAAUUGUCUCUUUUUUUUGGUGGGGAGGGAUUGUUUUGCCUCGGUUGUUUAAUUUAAUUUUUUUUUUUUGGUACUGGGGAUCGAACUCUGGACCUUGCGCUUGCAGGCAGGAGGCUGAACCACUGAGCUAAAUCCCCAGCCCUUGGUUGUUUAAUUUUAAAUUAAUAAGCAUGUGCUUCUAGGCUUUUGGUGGGCAUAUUUCAUAAAAUAUUCUUUAAAAUUUCACAGCAGUGUGUUAGAGAAUUCUCUGGAGGGCAGGCCGGACUCUCACUCCAGAGAGACGGUGUCUCUGUCUGUUCACCGUCUGCCACCUCGUCGACACGCUGGCCAAUCAGUGCCCCCAAUCAGUGAUACACAAGUGACCAGUUCACAGCACAGCACUUUUUAUGCUUUUUAAUUUCAAGAAAAAGACACAGAGAAAGAAAAAACUCAAAGUCUACACAGCACGCAGUUUUAUUUCCCUCUUUUACACCCGUAAAUCCAUAAUUUCCAUCUUCUUUUUGUUGGGAUGGAGACUCAAAUAAUAAGUUGUUUUGUGGCUUUGGGAAUUUACUUCAUUUCUUUACCCCUGUGACUCUGCAUGCUUUCAAGGCCACGAAACAUAGUAACACAAAUUAAAGGUUUGUGGCAUCAAUGAAUUUGAGAAGACAAAUCCAAAACUAUGGUAGGAUUCAAUUCCAUUUAGCAAAUGUUUCUAUCGUUUAUUUUCCUCAUGAUAAUUAUUGUACAUAUAAUGCUUAAGUAGGCCAGAUAAUUUUUUUGUUGUUGUUGGGAUCGAACUCAGGACCUUAUGCUUGUGAGGCAGGUGUGGUGGCACUGAGCCAAAUCCCCGGCAAGGGCCAGAUAAUUUUAAAUACCCCUUAUACCCUAUGACAGAAGUGGCAAACCUAUGACACACAUGUCAUUUGUUUUCUUCUAAGAAAAAAGAUAUUAGCAUAUGAGUUUUUUUCUAAACUAAAACCUCUGUAUUCAGUUUAAUUGCAGUGUUGUCACUUUGUGAAAUAAGUGGGUUUUGGGUUACAGUUUGGGCACUCGCCUCUAGAAGGUUCUCCAUCACUGGCCUGUGAGCCAAAGCAGAUGAGGAUUCUGAGGAAAGAGAAACUUAAACUCGGUCACAGGCAGCGAGAGGCAGAGCCGGCUCUCAAACAGUAUCGGCAGCAGAGUUUGUGCCCUUAGCUCCUGCAUGUGGUCACUAACAAGCACUUACUUUCAUUAGGUACCGAGCUACUUUUCAAAGUGCUUUCAGAGUGCAUUUUCACAAGUCCUCAGCAGAUUCAGUCUUUUGAAGGGUCACGUGAUCACACAGGGCAGGAGAUGGGACCCUGAAGGAGGGGGCGGGGAAAGGGGGGUUGUUCAGUUUGAAACACACAUUCAAAGCUGCCUGAGCUGACAGGAAAGAGUCACUGCAGCAUAUUUAUAAAAACAAAAACUCCCAGGCAACUUCAACGUCUAAUAAAGGAAGGAUGGUUUAGUUACACUAUGGUCUAGUCACUGAAUGAAAACUUCGAGAAUGACAGUUAUGACUACAUCGAGGCAUCAAAAGAUGUUUAGAAUGUUUUGCAAAAUAAAGCUGAACACACAGAUGACAGCAAUGUAAAAUGUGAUCGCAGUAGAGAAGGGUCAGAAAGAGGAGGCACAAAAGUGAAAAUUAUUGCAAUUUGGGUGGAGGACCUUGAGUUAUUUUAUUCUUCAUAUUAUGUUUUCUCUCUUUGUGGUUAUAAUUUUAGAAAAGGAGACCCGGAAAGAUUUGGGGCAAGAGUUUAUAUAAAGAACAAGACUUGAUUAAAAAAGAAUUUGUCUGGCCAGACGAGUCGGCUACACUGGUCUAUGACUUUGUGUCCCAGGAUCCCGGAUGGGUGCUGCCUGGGGC
rnacentral:lncRNA from 1 species